GGCUUGUUGAUUUUAAUUUCAAGUCUGACCUGCCCAAUGAUAUUUAUUUUAAUGGCCGCAGUAUAUUAACUGUGCAAAGGUAGCAUAAUCAUUAGUUUUUUAAUUGGAAGCUUGUAUGAAGGGUUUGAUGAAAAAAUUUCUGUCUCUAGAGAAAUUUAUUAGAAUUUUAUUUUUAAGUGAAAAAGCUUAGAUUUAUAUGGAAGACGAGAAGACCCUAUAGAGUUUUAUAUUUAUAUAAAUUAAAAGAAUUUUGUUAAGUAUUUAGUUGGGGUGAUAGAAAAAUUGAUACAACUUUUUUUUUUUUGUACAUUAAUUUAUGAUUAUUUGAUCCUAGAUUUAGAUUAUAAGAAGAAACUACCUUAGGGAUAACAGCGUAAUUUUUUUUAGAGUUCUUAUCGAAAAGAAAGAUUGCGACCUCGAUGUUGGAUUAAAAUUAAUUGUUGGUGAAGAAGUUUACAAAUUAGGUCUGUUCGACCUUUAAAAUUUUACAUGAUCUGAGUUUAAACCGGUGUGAG
rnacentral:rRNA from 1 species